rfam:Harpegnathos saltator strain R22 G/1 HarSal_1.0_2.contig980, whole genome shotgun sequence.
UCUGCUUUCUCUACUUUACAGCAUUUUGGCGUUGGCAACACAAAUAUAUACAACCUAGAAAGGGUGGCAUUGCGCCAUUCUUUCAAGUGACAGUUGGCUCGAUGAUAUUCUUUUACAUAAUUAAUCGUAAAAGAAUAAGUGAGUACAA